CUCCCUAGCAAUUGUCCUCCAAACAAACAACAUUCUUCCUCUUUAGCCGUACUCCUUUUCUUCAACUAAUUCAACCACUAAUUUCCUUUUUCUUCCCUCUCUCUCAACUAACAUUUUUCUAUUUCUUGGGUUGUAUGGUUCUCGCUCUCUUAAUCAACCCUCUUACCUUCAUUUUUACUGGUGUUAACUUAAGAGGUAAUAGUGGUGGGUGGCAAACAAGGCUAGAGUAUAUUAGCGAUAUAGCUUUCCCUUAGUCGACAAACCUAGUGUUGGUGUGGGGAAGGAAGGCUUAGCUCAUUUACCUACGAGAUUCAAAGACUCAGGGUUACAGAAUCUGAAGUUUGUCAUUUCUAGGUUUUGGCUUUUGAGAUUAAUAAGGAAGCAAGAUUUUUUGAAGAAUGUCGACAAUUGAAAAAGAAGGCUUAUUUCUGUGCCUACACCUCACUCCAUGGAUGUUCUUGCACAAAAGCUAUUGGAUGCCUUGACUCAGUGGAAUAUAAAGAGUAAAAUCUCUACUAUAACUAUGGAUAAUUGCAACUCUAAUGAUGUAAUGAUUUCCAUUGUAGUUGAUAAGCUGUGUUCUAAGCCUUUAUUUGAUGGGAAAAUCCUUCACAUGAGAUGUUGUGCACAUAUUUUAAAUUUGAUUGUGAAAGAUGGAUUACUAGUGAGUGAUGAAGUCAUUGAAAAUAUUCAUAAUAGUGUAAUUUUUUGGACAACUAGUUCCUCUGGAGUGUCAAAGUUUGAAGAUGUAGUUCGUUAGUCAAAAGUGUCAUAUUCUAAAAAGUUAAGUCUUACUUGUAAAACUAGGUGGAAUUCUACUUACUACUUCACUUUCCUUUGUAGUACAAAUAUCUUUUUCCUAAGUUGAAACUUAGAGAUAAAUAUUAUGUUUCUGUGCCUAGUGAGGAAGAAUGGGAAAAGGCAAAAAAUAUUGU